GACGAACGCUGGCGGCGUGCUUAACACAUGCAAGUCGAACGGAAAGGCCCUGCUUUUGUGGGGUGCUCGAGUGGCGAACGGGUGAGUAACACGUGAGUAACCUGCCCUUGACUUUGGGAUAACUUCAGGAAACUGGGGCUAAUACCGGAUAGGAGCUCCUGCUGCAUGGUGGGGGUUGGAAAGUUUCGGCGGUUGGGGAUGGACUCGCGGCUUAUCAGCUUGUUGGUGGGGUAGUGGCUUACCAAGGCGUUGACGGGUAGCCGGCCUGAGAGGGUGACCGGCCACAUUGGGACUGAGAUACGGCCCAGACUCCUACGGGAGGCAGCAGUGGGGAAUAGUGCACAAUGGGCGGAAGCCUGAUGCAGCAACGCCGCGUGCGGGAUGACGGCCUUCGGGUUGUAAACCGCUUUCGCCUGUGACGAAGCGUGAGUGACGGUAAUGGGUAAAGAAGCACCGGCUAACUACGUG
rnacentral:rRNA from 1 species